GGGGGCGGUACGCGGCGGAGAUCCGCGAUCCAGUAAAGAAGACCCGCGUUUGGCUCGGCACCUUCGCCAGCGCGGAGGAGGCGGCACGCGCCUACGACGCCGCUGCCCUCCGGUUCCGCGGCCUCAGUGCCAAGACCAACUUCCCCUGCCCCGGUCCUCCCCACGCCCUCGCCAACCCCUUCAGCCCCACCAGCAGCAGCGGCACCGUCGAGUCGUCCACCCCUUCCUCGAAGGCCACAGCGGCCGCAGCAGUCCUCACGCCGCUCGAUCUCGAGCUGGGCCACGCGUCCGCCCGGUCCUCCCUGCCGCGCAGCCCGGUUCCCAUGGAUCGGGCAGUGGCCUUGACCGGGUUCA
rnacentral:lncRNA from 1 species